GAUGAAGAACGUAGCGAAAUGCGAUAAUUAAUGUGAAUUGCAGAAUUCCGUGAAUCAUCGAAUCUUUGAACGCACAUUGCGCCCCCUGGUAUUCCGGGGGGCAUGCCUGUUCGAGCGUCAUUACAACCCUCAAGCUCUGCUUGGUAUUGGGCCCCGCCAGUUCUGGCGGGCCCUAAAGUCAGUGGCGGUGCCUUCCGGCUCCGAGCGUAGUAAUUCUUCUCGCUCUGGAGACCCGGUUGUGUGCUUGCCAACAACCCCCAAUUUUUUAAGGUUGACCUCGGAUCAGGUAGGGAUACCCGCUGAACUUAAGCAUAUCAAUAAGCGGAGGA
rnacentral:misc_RNA from 1 species